rnacentral:lncRNA from 1 species
CUGCAGGCUGAGAAGGGACCUCUGCGGGGCAGUGUCACCGAGCCCUGCAUCGGGGUUGCGGGGUCACUUUCCAGCCGAGGAGACCCGAGCCUAGCAGAUUGUGUCAGGGCAGUGGCCAGCGGGAGCAGGAGGCAGGGGCCUAGGGGUCCUCAGUUUCUUGGGUGGCUCAGCAUCUUUCCCAAGCGUCACAGCUGGCAUGGGAAGGAACGGAGACCCGGGACCUGCUGGGGCAGGGUGAGGACCGGCCAGACCUGGCAGCGGGGUGUGAGAGUGACAACUGGGCGGGAUCACAUUCACAGCUGCGGCAGACCCAGACUUUGCCUAGGGCUCGGCAAGCGAGUGGGAGAGGGCACCGGGUGGCGCUCCGGUUGCCGCAGGUGGGCAGGCUCCAAAGCCGCCCCUGCCCCGGCGGCGGAAAGGCCCGCCCUGCUCAGGCUAAGGCUGGAGGGAGUGAGCUGAUCGGUGGCCGGUGGAGGUGACGUGGGCGUCCUGGCCUGUGGGCGGGGGAUGAAAAUGUGCGCUGUCCCUUUAAGCCCCCAGCCACUGCCGCCUCCCAGCCCCAUCCCCCCUCAAUUUAAUUUCAUUAAAACAGAGCAUGAAUAUUUCUAUUAAACCUAAAAUGAAAUAUGAAGCCAUUUAGACUCUGCCUGCACCAAUCACCCAGAUUUAUGACUUUUAUUCAUCACAUCAAGAGCUUGGAAAAAUGAAUUUUCUUCACCCAGGAAGGAAAUAAAACCUCAGGCUUGGUCAUUUCCAGAAAGCUGUUAAUUUGACCAUGUGGUAAUUACUUUCACAAUUAACUAAAAUACAAAUCAACUUGACAAAUUGGGCUAGUUUAUAUAUUAAUUAGCCUGCUUAAAUUUAUUCAUUAUGAAAAGACAAUUUAAGGGGACCUGCAGUGUCUGUUUUAUCGCAAUAAAUUACUGUUAGGAAAUGGGUCUAAUAAAAUACCUUAAUAUUUAGGAUACUGUAUACACGGGGCGCUGCUUUAUUGACAAC